rnacentral:rRNA from 1 species
UACAGAGGGUGCGAGCGUUGUUCGGAAUUAUUGGGCGUAAAGGGCGCGUAGGCGGUGCGGUAAGUCACCUGUGAAAUCUCCUGGCUCAACUGGGAGCUUGCAGGCGAAACUGCCGUGCUGGAGUGUGGGAGAGGUGCGUGGAAUUCCUGGUGUAGCGGUGAAAUGCGUAGAUAUCGGGAGGAACACCUGUGGCGAAAGCGGCGCACUGGACCACAACUGACGCUGAGGCGCGAAAGCUAGGGGAGCAAACAGG